AGACCUUGGCGGUCCCCAGCUAGCAAUGCACUCCAUCCGAGAAAUGUGCUGCUCCUCUAUUGUACAUCAAGAGACACUGCUAUUCAAGGGUUCCUUUGAGACACUUCCAACAGUACUGGAUUCCGUAGUUGGAGCUGACUAAAGUCAAGCCACCGGCAUUCCUGAGCUUCUUUUGCAUGAAUCCUCUCCCCAAACUCCGUUUAAAUGAUUUUUGCUGGAAAAGCAAUGUAGGUUCAACUCAGCGGAGCAAACAAGAUACUUAGUCAAAAGAAAAGGAACAUAAUCCCAGCACAAUCAAUGUAAAAAUUGUGUAACAAGGGAAGGGGUAGAAGACGGGAGCACGUAAACAAGAGAUAGUAUUCAAACAGUGUAUCCUGAAAACUUUCUCAUUUAUCCAUUGCCCAUUAUAAUCAGGCAAGACGUAUACAGGCAUAAAACGGUGGUUCCUGGAACUGUGUGCCUUGUUUUGUAUUUACGGUCUAAAAACAAGGAUGACGAAAAGCAUGUGACAAGCAAAUGGAAAUUAGCACGCUCGGCGCAAUAAACGUUUGCACUACUCUUCUGA